GACGAACGCUGGCGGCGUGCUUAACACAUGCAAGUCGAACGGUAAGGCCCUUCGGGGUACACGAGUGGCGAACGGGUGAGUAACACGUGGGUGAUCUGCCCUGCACUUUGGGAUAAGCCUGGGAAACUGGGUCUAAUACCGAAUAUGACCAUGGACUUCACGGUUUGUGGUGGAAAGCUUUUGCGGUGUGGGAUGGGCCCGCGGCCUAUCAGCUUGUUGGUGGGGUAAUGGCCUACCAAGGCGACGACGGGUAGCCGGCCUGAGAGGGUGACCGGCCACACUGGGACUGAGAUACGGCCCAGACUCCUACGGGAGGCAGCAGUGGGAAUAUUGCACAAUGGGCGCAAGCCUGAUGCAGCGACGCCGCGUGGGGGAUGACGGCCUCGGUUGUAACCGUACUUUCUACCAGGACGAAGCGAGAGUGACGGUACCUCGGAGAAGAAGACGGCCAACUACGUAGCCAGC
rnacentral:rRNA from 1 species